UAGGGAAUCUUCCGCAAUGGACGAAAGUCUGACGGAGCAACGCCGCGUGAGUGAAGAAGGAUUUCGGUUCGUAAACCUCUGUUGUAAGGGACGAAAAAAUGUAUGGUAACUAUAACCAAAAGCGACGUUACCUAACCAGAAAGCCACGGCUAACUACGUGCCAGCAGCCGCGGUAAAACGUAGGUGGCACGCGUUGUCCGGAAUUAUUGGGCGUAAAGCGCGCGCAGGUGGUUUAGAAAGUCUGAUGUGAAAGCCCACGGCUCAACCGUGGAGGGUCAUUGGAAACUAAUAAACUUGAGUGCAGGAGAGAAAGGUGGAAUUCCUAGUGUAGCGGUGAAAUGCGUAGAGAUUAGGGGGAACACCGGUGGCGAAAGCGGCUUUUUGGCCUGCAACUGACACUGAGGCGCGAAAGCGUGGGGAGCAAACAGG
rnacentral:rRNA from 1 species